GACGAACGCUGGCGGCGUGCUUAACACAUGCAAGUCGAACGAAAAGAGGGAAAGAGCUUGCUCUUUCCGGAAUUGAGUGGCAAACGGGUGAGUAACACGUAAACAACCUGCCUUCAGGAUGGGGACAACAGACGGAAACGACUGCUAAUACCGCAUAAAGUGUUUUGGGGGCAUCCCCGGAACACCAAAGAUUUAUCGCUGAAAGAUGGCCUCGCGUCUGAUUAGCUAGUUGGUGAGGUAACGGCCCACCAAGGCGACGAUCAGUAGCCGGACUGAGAGGUUGACCGGCCACAUUGGGACUGAGAUACGGCCCAGACUCCUACGGGAGGCAGCAGUGGGGAAUAUUGGGCAAUGGGCGCAAGCCUGACCCAGCAACGCCGCGUGAAGGAAGAAGGCUUUCGGGUUGUAAACUUCUUUUGUCUAGGGACGAGUAGAAGACGGUACCUGACGAAUAAGCCACGGCUAACUACGUG
rnacentral:rRNA from 1 species